rnacentral:rRNA from 1 species
AUUGAGCGCUGGCGGCAUGCCUUACACAUGCAAGUCGAACGGCAGCACGGGGGCAACCCUGGUGGCGAGUGGCGAACGGGUGAGUAAUGCAUCGGAACGUGCCCAGUAGUGGGGGAUAACCAGUCGAAAGACUGGCUAAUACCGCAUACGACCUACGGGUGAAAGCGGGGGACCGUAAGGCCUCGCGCUAUCGGAGCGGCCGAUGUCUGAUUAGCUAGUUGGCGGGGUAAGAGCCCACCAAGGCGACGAUCAGUAGCUGGUCUGAGAGGACGACGAGCCAAACUGGGACUGAGACACGGCCCAGACUCCUACGGGAGGCAGCAGUGGGGAAUUUUGGACAAUGGGCGCAAGCCGGAUCCAGCCAUGCCGCGGGCGGGAAGAAGGCCUUCGGGUUGAAAACCGCUUUUGGCAGGAACGAAACGGCGCAAGCCAAUACCUUGCGCUAAUGACGGUACCUGCAGAAUAAGCACCGGCUAACUACGUGCCAGCCGCCGCCGUAAGAC